AUUAAUCUAAAUAUGGACUUUUCGAGAUGAAUAUUGGUCAAUCUCGUUAAAAUUUUCAGUUCUUCAAUUAGAUCUCUUUUUCACUGUUGCCUUUUCUUUUUGAGCCUAAAACGAAAGGAGAAAGGUGUGUGGCAAAUCCACUUUUUGGAUUUAAGCUUGACGGCAUAUGAGAGUGGGAACUCAUUUUUGGAAAAGUGAGUCAAAUUGGUACUCUUUUUUCUAACGCAUAUGGUGGCGUUUUAGAGCAACAAGGCUGUUUUGUUAAAUAUGAUAAUACUAAGUUCUUAGGUGUUGAAGAUAAGACGGUUGUGUUGAAAAAAUGUGGACCAGCGAGGCAGCGAUUGGUUAUGAUACUGAUGCGUUAGGCCGUAGAGAUGCGAUGUUGGCCGGGUUAGGUUCUGGUGGUGGACCAUAUAGAGUUUUAGGGUUUUGAA